UACGGAGGGUGCAAGCGUUAUCCGGAUUCACUGGGUUUAAAGGGUGCGUAGGUGGGCAUGUAAGUCAGUGGUGAAAUCUCCGGGCUUAACCCGGAAACUGCCAUUGAUACUAUAUGUCUUGAAUACCAUGGAGGUGAGCGGAAUACGUCAUGUAGCGGUGAAAUGCUUAGAUAUGACAUAGAACACCAAUUGCGAAGGCAGCUCACUACGCGGUUAUUGACACUGAGGCACGAAAGCGUGGGGAUCAAACAGG
rnacentral:rRNA from 1 species